GGACAUUUUUCUUUGUGGCAAGAUGGAUGAUCAAGGUUGGGUUCCCGUCUCAUUGAUUGCUACCUUUAACAUGGUCAAAAGGGUGACCACGAGCAUAGCGAUGAUAUUGAAUGCUCUAAGAGAUUCGACAGAACUUGAAAUACAGAGAAAAUUAGAAGACGAGAGGAUUGGAUGAGAUGGUUACUGCCCUCGAUGGAAAAUCCAAAUGGUCAUGGUUCCACACCUCACUUGACAUUGAACCAUGAUGAUUCAGUCAUCCACCCCAUGCAGACUCUCGGAUUAGAGGGAUAUUCCAGCCAGGCCACCAUGAGUUGUACUCAAACUGAGGUAGCACUUGAUAGGGGAUCAGCAUCCUGUAGCUGCAACAACCAGCAAGGUAGAGAUCCAGCUCAACUAGAAGAACUUUACCACAGUGGUUCAAAUCAUGAAAUAG